UUUCCAAAUCACAAUUUUGUAUAAUAAUCAAUCAAAGUUUUGUUGUAUCAUUGUUCUCAAGCACAUAGCAUUUGCAAUUAGCCACAUAAAGUCUAAGGCUAAUAUUAAAUCACAAAUUCAUCAGCAACAUAAGUCACAGUCGCAUGACAACUCAACCGAUAUUAAAUUAAUUAAAAUUCAACAUUAUAGGCAAUAUUGUUGCACCACGAGGAUUUACUGGUAAUUUCAGCAGCAUGAAUAUUUCUUCUGCACACAUAUAAUACAAAUUAAAAGAAAAAAAAGUUGUAGAACAGAAUAAUAUCGGUGUUCAAAUCAGAAAGAACUAGUGCCAAUUGCAUAACAUAAUAACAUCAAUGUUCAAAUUAGAAAGAACCAAUGACAACUGCAAAUAAAAUAACAUCAAUGUUCCAAUUAGAAAGAAUCAGUGACAGUUGUAGAACAGAUUAACAUCACUUGAUAAAAAAUAUAAAAUACAUGAUAUAUAACCAAACUAAUUCAACAACAAAAUUUGUAGAAAAAUACCCCAAGAGUAGUGAGAAAUUUGCUUCAGCUUUGUUUUGUUCUCAUAGCAGUGAGACUCCACCAUGACAUCUAUGUUUCAAAUUUAAAACAAAUAGUUAUAUCAAGUUUUCAUAUGCAUUGCAUACCCAACAAUUGAAUUGUAACAAAGUUGCAAAGAUUAACUUACACAGGUUUCUUUUGUCAAUUUUAAUCCAAUGCCACAAAAUUAGAAGUUGAUGCAAAGAUAUGGUAAGUUGGUCCAAUGCCACAAAAGUAUGAGUCAGGUGGUUUGUAAUUUAUUAUAUUGACAAGUUAUACAGUAAAAUGACAAUCAAAUUAAAACUUACAAAUACAUCCUCAUUAGUGCAAACAAUAGCA
rnacentral:lncRNA from 1 species